rnacentral:rRNA from 1 species
UACGUAGGGGGCAAGCGUUGUCCGGAUUUAUUGGGCGUAAAGAGCGUGUAGGCGGCCACACAGGUCCGUUGUGAAAACUGGAGGCUUAACCUCCAGACGUCGAUGGAAACCGUAUGGCUAGAGUCCGGGAGAGGAGAGCGGAAUUCCCAGUGUAGCGGUGAAAUGCGUAGAUAUUGGGAGGAACACCGGUGGCGAAGGCGGCUCUCUGGACCGGUACUGACGCUGAGACGCGAAAGCCAGGGGAGCAAACGGG